rnacentral:rRNA from 1 species
CGACUUUCGAACGCAUAUUGCAGUCUUGGGCCAUCCCUUGACUUUGUUUGUCUGAGCGUCGUUAAUAAGCUACAAACCAUCCAAAGACUCGAUYYAAAUCGUGUUGGAUUCAUGUUCAACUCGUCGAGUCAAUUWUCUUAUGACUGCCACUACAAGUCGUGCCCAGCAGCACAGUGUGCAAUGUAGGGCUCUUGGCAUUACAAGCCAAUUCCGCCUGUCUGACCAUUCACAUGUUCAUGGCUGCAUGGUAGAGCUUGAUGAUCAGUUAUAACUAACUUAAACAUGAUUUGUUAACUUUCGACCUCAGAUCAAGCGAGAUUACCCCCUGAAUUUAAGC